UUAGAUACCCUGGUAGUCCACGCUGUAAACGAUGUCGAUUUGGAGGUUGUGCCCUUGAGGCGUGGCUUCCGGAGCUAACGCGUUAAAUCGACCGCCUGGGGAGUACGGCCGCAAGGUUAAAACUCAAAUGAAUUGACGGGGGCCCGCACAAGCGGUGGAGCAUGUGGUUUAAUUCGAUGCAACGCGAAGAACCUUACCUACUCUUGACAUCCAGAGAACUUAGCAGAGAUGCUUUGGUGCCUUCGGGAACUCUGAGACAGGUGCUGCAUGGCUGUCGUCAGCUCGUGUUGUGAAAUGUUGGGUUAAGUCCCGCAACGAGCGCAACCCUUAUCCUUUGUUGCCAGCGGUUCGGCCGGGAACUCAAAGGAGACUGCCAGUGAUAAACUGGAGGAAGGUGGGGAUGACGUCAAGUCAUCAUGGCCCUUACGAGUAGGGCUACACACGUGCUACAAUGGCAUAUACAAAGAGAAGCGACCUCGCGAGAGCAAGCGGACCUCAUAAAGUAUGUCGUAGUCCGGAUUGGAGUCUGCAACUCCACUCCAUGGAGUCGGAAUCGCUAGUAAUCGUAGAUCAGAAUGCUACGGUGAAUACGUUCCCGGGCCUUGUACACACCGCCCGUCACACCAUGGGGAGUGGGUUGCAAAAGAAGUAGGUAGCUUAACCUUCGGGAGGGCGCUUACCACUUUGUGAUUCAUGACUGGG
rnacentral:rRNA from 1 species